CUGUCUCAGCAACCUGAUCAGUGAGAUGGAGGGGAAGGGUCAGGAGCCAGCGAGUGAAUUCCUGCAGGACCUCAGAAGCACCUUGAGCAGGUGUGAGAAGGGGAAGUUCCAGCAGCCAAUGGAGAUUUCUCCUGAACUGGAGAAGAGACUCGGCAAUUUCUCC